ACAAAAACAAAAACAAACCCUGAAGUAAAAAGUGUUAAUAUUCAUCCUUCUUUUAUGAAAAAAACGAAUAAAGUAUUCUGGCAAAGACCCAAUCUUUUUUUCUCAAUCGUUAGUUUGAAAAGAGAAAAAAAAAGAACACUUCCUUGAGGAUCCCAUUCAUUCCCUUCCAAAAAUACUUGCCAGAAGGCUAAAAAUCGUACCUCUUCAAUUCAGUGUUUCUUCCACGUCUAAGAGCAACCGGGUCCAAAAAAAUUCAGUCCUAAUAAGUUAACAACCCUUCAAAGAGGCCAACCCCACCUCGAAAACAUAGCCCUCUCGAUCAAUGUAAUGCAAUAGAGUCAUAGAGAGAGGGGGCUCGUGUUUUUUCUCUCUUACAUAUACCUAUAGGUAUAUAUAUUGAUUGAUGUAGAUAUAGAUCUGCCAUGGUGAUUUGGUUUUGUUUUAUAGAAUUCUUAGAAUUGUAGUGAGGUUUCAAAGAUGACUGGAGGUGGGGAAGCUUCCCAAAAGCGAAGCCCCAGGGAGUUAGCAUGCCAUGCUGGUGCUGGUGCCUCCGCAGGUGUUAUUGCAGCCACGUUUAUGUGCCCAUUGGAUGUGAUCAAGACAAGGUUACAAGUCCAUGGCUUGCCUCUCAAUUCAGGUCAAGGAGGUAGUAUCAUCAUCUCAAGUCUUCAACACAUUGUCAGAACUGAAGGUUUUAAGGGAUUGUAUCGUGGGCUCUCCCCAACAAUAAUGGCACUUCUUCCGAACUGGGCUGUGUAUUUCACAGUUUAUGAGCAAAUUAAAGGCAUCCUUUCAAAUGAGGAUGGGGAUAGCCAGCUCUCAGUUGGUGCAAACAUGGUAGCUGCUGCUGGUGCUGGGGCUGCAACAUCCAUUGCAACAAAUCCAUUGUGGGUUGUGAAAACCAGACUCCAGACGCAAGGAAUGAGGCCAGGUGUGGUUCCUUACAAAAGCAUACUUUCUGCUUUGAGGCGGAUUAAACAAGAGGAAGGCAUGCUAGGCUUGUAUAGUGGGAUUUUGCCUUCUUUGGCUGGGAUAAGUCAUGUUGCAAUUCAAUUUCCAGCAUAUGAAAAGAUCAAGUGUUACAUGGCAAAGAAGGGUAAUACAACUGUUAAUAAUUUAAGCCCUGGGGAUGUCGCAAUUGCCUCUUCAAUAUCCAAAGUACUUGCCUCUGUACUGACUUAUCCACAUGAGGUGGUACGUUCAAGACUUCAAGAGCAAGGGCAGCUCAGAAAUUCUGAGGCCCAUUAUGCCGGUGUUGUUGAUUGCAUUAAGAAAGUGUUCCAAAAGGAAGGUUUUCGUGGAUUUUACCGUGGCUGUGCAACUAACUUAAUGAGAACGACUCCGUCUGCUGUGAUUACAUUGACCAGUUAUGAGAUGAUACACAAGUUCUUCAAGGGCAUUCUGCUUCCUGACAAGAAGCAUUCACAUGCCCAGACUAAAUCCGAUGACCAUGCCAAACCUCAAUAGGCGAUCAAAGGAAAUGUUAAUAGUAGCAACACCGUUUCGGGGCAAUCAUAAACCCAACCAAAUAAGACUCCCUCUAUUCCUUUGGGAAACAAAGAGCAGCUACCUGCUGCGCACUGAUUGGUGCUGUUUCUUUACAACAUCCCUGUUGGGGAAAUUCUCAACAGAAAAUGAAAUGGACAAGUUAAACGUGAAGGCCGUUUAUACCUAGUUUAGUUUUCAAUGCCUGACUUCCGCUUUGGACGUUGGGGAUGAUCGAAGGAUUUAAUGAUGUGCAUUCGUGGACCAGGCAUUUUAGAUAUUUCCAUCCUGUUAACUUUACUUAGGGAGGCAAAAGGAUAUCAUGGUUAGAUUUGGAUGAGCAGGUGUUUAGAAUCUUGACUUGUAGUGUAUGCAUAUGUAUAUUUCGCUUGUUGUCAUGCUUGUAAUUUGUUAGUUCUUCAGAUCAA